rnacentral:misc_RNA from 1 species
UGUCAUCAAAGUUGUACCAUCUAUUUUCAUCAAGAAGCUUGAUAUGUGCAGUGUAGUGCCCACUUCCCAUCCCACCAUAGUGAUUUGUUAGUGCAUACAGUUCAUAGAGCUGACGUCGAGAGUUGUUCUUGUUGGCCACAUAUUUUGUCAAGUCAAAAUCAUGAAUAGGAAAAUUUACAAAAGUUUCCAGCUUAUGCUUCAUGGACCGGCUGUAUGAAAACCUCUUCAGGUGGAUAACAAGCACUUCAGGAAGCCUCCAAAGAUCUAACUUCUUACUUGCUUGUCUUCGCUCUUUGCAUGUAGGACAAUACCACAUAUCUUCAGGAACCAAUGGCUCUUCACGUAAGAAAGCUUCCAAGCAACUGUACAGUGAAAGAGGUUCAGUUCGAGCUUUUUUUGUAGCUGGUCCAUACUUUGUGACUUCCGGCAAAUUCUCUAUGUAACGAGUAUCAUAAUUUUCCAAAAGCUUCUGAGACCAAUCAGCAAAUACAAGUAUUGAAACUGACGAUGAAGACAAUUUGACAGAUUUAUCUUCCCCUACAGUUAGGUCAAUGCAUGCAUUAUUCUCAUCAACCAAUUGCAGAGGUAGUUUCUCCAAGUUCACCAAUUUUGAGCUAGGCACAUCCUUCUGUCUUGGAUCAUCAUUUGCUAGACUAGAGUCUACACAGGCUUCACUAGAAGCGGCAAAACGGGAUG